UACGUAGGGUGCAAGCGUUGUCCGGAAUUACUGGGCGUAAAGCGCACGUAGGCGGACUAUUAAGUCAGGGGUGAAAUCCCGGGGCUCAACCCCGGAACUGCCUUUGAUACUGGUAGUCUCGAGUCCGGAAGAGGUGAGUGGAAUUCCGAGUGUAGAGGUGAAAUUCGUAGAUAUUCGGAGGAACACCAGUGGCGAAGGCGGCUCACUGGUCCGGUACUGACGCUGAGGUGCGAAAGCGUGGGGAGCGAACAGG
rnacentral:rRNA from 1 species